GGAUGAAACGAGACACAAAGGAACAAGGGAGAAUCGCGUGGGUGAAGCUCGUUCGACUGUAGUAUGGUUUUCCAACGUCGAGGGAACCGGUACCGGUUUUUCGUGGCGCAAAAGAAAAAAGGAAAGAAAAAACAAUACCGCGACCUUAACGGAUAUGGUCAGACCAGAUAUUCCGCGUGUUCGACGUUGUCCUCGAGCAUCUACGAUCCGCGUGUUUCUUCUUUGCUUCUGUUGCCUCUUUCUUCCUUCUCGUUGUGUUCUCUUUGCCGGCGACAAAAGCCACCUUGUGUUAUGUCUCCUCUUUGUUUCUUGUCGAAUCUUUGUUAGCCGUUGAUGCUUCAAACAUUUUCUCGAUGGUAUUGUCUUUUAGGCUACGAGUCGAUAUUCCUACCAACAUCACUAUUGUUGUCAUUAUUGUAAGAUCCAGAAGAAGUUAUAGUUUGCCAUCCGCUUACAUCACGUUCAAAGUUAUGGUGAAUGCAGUAAACAUGCCGUCGUUGUUGGAAGCUCUGGAGCUGAAAUACGGUAGUUCAACGACUGACUGCUCCCUCACGGACGAGGAGACCGAAUCGAGUUCUCCGAAGGCCGCCCUCUCGGUCAGCAUCUUCAUCCCGAAGAAGUCACCCCGUCACACGGUGCCAGCGUUGCUGGUGUUGCAAGACUGCGAUAUCGAAUCAGCCGGCAACGACGCGGAAAAACUUCGCAACAAAUGCAAGAACGUCGAGGAGUUGGAUCUGGCACAGAACAAACUGUCCCAAUGGACGGAAGUGUUCGGCAUCCUGCAGCAUAUGCCCAAGAUCAAAUUCGUCAACUUGAGCUUCAAUUGUUUAGCGGAAGUUUUAGAUAUCAAACACGGUAGUUACGACCUCCUGAAGAACCUUGUGUUAAACGGCACCAGGGUCUCCUGGUCGACGGUUCAGGGACUUAUUCGGUUGCUCCAUAAUCUGGAGGAGCUGCAUCUCUCCCUCAACGAGUACAAGACGGUCGAUCUGGAGUAUCAGAAACCGGAGAAUGGGAACGAUUCGCUGAGGAAACUCCAUUUUACCGGAAAUCCUGUCGAGGUAUGGAACGAGAUCUCCAAACUGGGGUACAUCUUCCCGAAUCUGGAGAGCCUGGUGCUCGCAGAGUGCCCCUUAAGGUCAUUGGCCCUAGUGGAUAAUAGGAAUUCGAACGAGGAGACGUGUCCCAAAAAGGAGACCAAGAAUGUUAGUCAGGACAACGAGAACAUGAACAACGUGGAAGUUGAAGAGAAUACGGUGGACGAAAAAGGGAACAGGAUAUUCACCGAGGUGAAGGUCAACUACGACAGGUCCGAAUCAGAAUCGGAGUCCAGUGGGACGACUAUUAAAUCCUCCCACGAUCCCUUUAGGAAACUCAGGUUUCUAAACGUGAAUGGUACCCUGUUGUCCACCUGGGACGACGUGGAAAGAUUGGCCAGAUUUCCGGCGUUGAAAUCGUUGAGGAUUCAGGGUUGUCCUCUUUUCGAGAGUCCUCGAGAGUACACGGAACACGAAAGGAGGCAAUUGUUGAUUGCCAGGCUUCCAAAUGUGGAGACUUUAAACGGCGGUGGAGUGAUAUCGUCACAAGAGCGCGAGGACGCCGAGAGGGCCUUCAUUCGAUACUACAUGGAUAAACCGGAAGCUGACAGACCCGAAAGGUAUUCCGAGCUUGUAGCUAUUCAUGGAAAGCUGGAUCCUCUGGUACACGUUGACCUGACGCCAGAGAAAAGGGUCAAGGUCACGUUCACUUACGGAGACCUAGUCGAGGUACGAUCUGUAGAUGUGUACAGAACGGUUUUCGAAUUGAAAACUAAACUGGAGACAAUGGUUAAAAUUCCUGCCAAUAGGAUGAGACUCUUCUACGUGGAUCAGGUUAUGAAGGCGCAGUACGGACCGGAAGAAAUGUUGUAUCCGAAUAAACAGCUGUACCGAUACAAUAUUCGAAACGGUGACGAGAUUAUAAUCGACAGCAAAUUAAAUCGUUUCGUCUCAACAUCUUCGACUACGUCUUCCAUUCGUUCCUGAAGAAGAUUUACUAGCGAAUCGUCGGACGACAUGAAACAUACCUGACGGUUGUUGGGAUCUGAUCUCCAUUAACGGAUCUACGGUUCGCAACACGAGUUUGCUUCGAUCGUAGAUCGACCACAUAAUACAUACACCGAAUAAUUGUUCUAGAAAUUGUAUUUAUCGAUUCUUCAGGGUCAAGGAGCGUAACAUGUAUACACUAAGAGCCGGUGGAAGAAACGUUGCGAAUGACGAAUGAGUGUACGAAGAGAGACGAAUUGGGAUAUUUAUGCAGAAUGAACGUGUGUAAAUUGAAAUUUGACCUAGGCAGGUUCGAUGGAGGCAAAUGAAACUUUGAAUACUCGCAGGAUAACGCAUAUAUGCUAUUCGUCAUGUUUUUACGAGAAAUUUCAAUUAAUACGCGUUUGCAAACUUUAGAGACUCUUCGUAGCUUCGCAUUAAUUGUUAGCGUAGUUUUCAGUGAAAUCGAUGGGGAGAGUAAACAAAAAAUUGUAUAAAGUACUUAGUUAAGUAGUACUCGAUUUACAAAUUGUUUUCAAUUAGUGUGCAUUGUCUGUUGCUUCGAAAGAUGCAAGUUAACGUAUGUUGACCACUGUACAGAAGAGAAAAUCUAGUGACUCGAUGGUCCAUUCGAUCGGUUAUGAAACAUUAAAAAUCACGUAGAUCUUACUGUCGCAAAUGCGCCGAUAUUUAGUAAAGGUGACAAUUUUUUUUAAGGACAAAGCGAUACAGUUCGAUCAUACAUACGAAUUUACCGUGUCUAAAGAGAUAUACAUACAUAUUGCAGCAAGACGUACAAUCGAACUUUAUCAACUACGUUUCGCGUAGCGGUGACAACAAUUUUGGCUAAGAAGAGACUCAAUUUCUAAACGUGGCACGACCACGCGAUCGCAGGACAAUGCAACGUGAAAAAAAAAUUGUCGAAUAGAAUGAACUAUUUUUAUAGAUUGCAGCCGUCUGUGUAUAAGAUAACGUGGAAAAAUCGAUAUAGCUUUGUUCCGUUUCCACUAACGACUUUUUUUCGAGAAGAAGUAAACACUUGCUUUAUGCCGUAGCAGCUUAAUUAAUUCGAGAUUACGUACGUUUAAAUAGAUGGUAGAGGAACGAAGAAAUUACUUCUGAAUUAUGGAAAGAAAGUUACACUAGGAUUUCGAUGUGUACUUAACUUUGGAAGUUGUCAGUACACGAUAACAAUGCAUUAAGUAUGUAUCGCCAUAUUCUACAUUUUUAAUGCGUAACUUAUAACAUGUCUUUCAUUGCAUUCAUUUCUUCUUUUCUUUUCUUUCUUUUUCUUCUUUUACGUUUGUAAAAUAUACAGAAAGAUCAUUUAUUUCCCGAAGUCUGACGGCUACUGCUUAUACAUAGCUAAAGCGCAAGAAGAUAUUGCACUCGUACAAAUGACGAUACGAACAUUUGAUAAUUCGACGAUGCAUUUCUAAACUGAAAAAUAAACGUAGAUGACUCGGUAUGCGUUCGCUGAUACAUCAAAUUUAAGUUAUUAACAGUGUAAGAGUUUAAAAAGGAAGACACGAAGAUGUACGUUUCAGUUUAAUCGCUUGCAAGGAUGGAACCUUGAAGAGUCACUUAGUGCCUGCCUUUUAAUAGCGUAACUCGGAUACCUCUAACACUGCCCUGUAAAUACCGUGUAAACGCGUACUUCGAAGCAUCUUCGUCGACUCUUCACUGUUGACCGGUUUGUGAAUGUCAUCUCUGGCGUUGGCAUAUCCGAUUCAGCGCGCUGAAUUGGCAGCUUUUUUAUAUACGUCAAAUCUAUUACACCUUUGCGUGUAUCCGAGAGGUAGAAGAACAACUCGUUGUUAAAAAUUUAAAGAAGAAACCGUCUAAAAAUAUGCGAAACGAGGUAAAUAUACUCCGGUGCGAAGGAUACAACAUGUUCAUCGAAAGAAAGAUAAAGAAAGUUGAUCAUUGACGAGAAGAGUCGAUCGAUGUAUAAUUUCAGAGAUGAAAUCUCGUAUCGCGAACAUUCUUAAACAUUGGAAUUCAGGGUGAUCGAUGGUUUCAAUUGGACCAGUGGUUAAAAACGUAUCAACCCUGAGAUUCUACGAUUCGUAUGUGUCUAGUCUCGGAAAAGGAAUCCUGCAUUGUUCUCGUUUUAUAUGAUAUGAUCCUUUUUUGUGCUGGCGCAAAUGUAAAAGAGGUAGAAAAAAAACAAUGCUCGAGAAGAUGUUUACGAACUUGGCUCUUGCAUGUUAUUGGUUGCAUAGGGUGUAUCUCUUUUGACCCUUGCGCGGAGCAUUGAUCGAUGAGACGCUUGGCGCCUGAAUGACCCCAAAGGAAACGUUGUGCUGAUUGGACGGCGACGUACACUAACUCUAACUUGAAUGAAACGUAAAGAAACACCUUCGUUGAUCGUUCUAUUCACGUAUCUAUUAGUCAAAGAUAUUUUGAUCGCUCGAUACUACCGGAGCAGGGGAUAAGAGGCAGCCCUGCUUAUGGUGGCGUGAUUUUGCUACGUAAUAAAAACUUGGACGCUUCAAUAUGUUAGAACAGCCUGUAUAGUUGUUUUCAGAAUUGCCACGAAUUUAUCCAGAUUCAUCUACGUGCAAAAUGAAUUUAAACGAAAUAAUAUUUAUGCAAUUCUUAGUAGCACACUUGCAAAAGGAUUAGGUAUUAAAAGUCUACGAAUGUUUAAUGUUUAAUUUUAAAAAUUUAUUUAAUUUCUAAGUAAAGUCAAUGUUGGAAGUUGAUAAAACUUUAUCUGCGAAAAAAAGUAGAACCGUUCUUCGAUCUCGGUUUUCUUUUAUAUCAAUUUCCGAUCAACCCCGUUUCUCGUUAAGAUCGAUUCGAGAUGCCCUCGUGUUCACACCCGCAGACGAGUAAACAAUUAACGUCGACGCGAAAUUCUGCUCUAUUACGUGGUGCACUGCCCGAUACGGAAUAAUAGAGCGGCACGAGGUGACAGCUCGUUACGAGGUUCCACCUUUUUUCCUUUUACCUUUGAAACUUUACGACCGAGUAGAAUCGUGACUAAUCCUACCCUGGGGGAGCGUGCACCCCUACUAUGCGCUAAAUCUACAGAGAAGACUAUGUCGAUUCACAGGCCCUGUGUCUCCGAAACUUGAAUUUUUCAU